ensembl:lncRNA myo-inositol 2-dehydrogenase-like
GGAAGAAGAAGACGCUGCACGACUACGCGGCGGAGUUCACGGAGCUGGCGGUGAAGCGGCACCUGCUGGAGCGCGGCGCCGCCGGCGAGGCCGCCGUGGUGGAGACGCUCUACUGCACCUCCUGCGAGCUGCCCAUGCGGGUGCGGCGCGACCGCAUCCUCGAGCACCUCUCCUCGGGCCGCCACUACCGCAACCGCCGCCUCGGCCGCCAGCACGGCCUGCGCGCCCCGCUCCUCCUAUCUGCAGGUCCAGACCUUGGCGCUAGCCUCCCCCUCCAGCUCGAUCCUCCUUCCCUGCUUUCUCAGCCUUCCUUUAUCCUCUCGGCCAACCCUUGCAUCACCAGCGCCGGGACCAGCACGAGCUACAGCAUGGUCCCGUCUCCGCCCUCCUGCCCCAAGGCGUUGAUCCCYGUUCCCCCCGGCGCUGUCAGCUCCACAACGAGCAUCGCGUCUGCCAGAGAAGACCAGACGCCCUCUACCUCCACCAGUCGCUCUUCGGCGUUCGCUGCCUUCCAUGUGAGAAGCACGCCCGCUCCCUCAAAGCAGACCGGCCAAAGGCUCCUUGUUCCUGAGGUCUCCGACAGCGCCGUUCCCGGAGGGGCGGCGGGACGGAGCAGCAGUACUGCUAGCAGUAUCGGCAUCGGCCUCGCCCUCUUUGGCGUAGGGCUCGUUGACAAAGCGUUGUUUCAGAGUUUAAUGGAAGAGAAUAGUUGCUGUUUGCUUUACAUCGUGGAAAAUCAGCUGCAGGAGGUGGAACGUGCCUUCAGCGCGGAAUUUUUGGCCAAUACCAGGGUGCUGCGGCAACAGGAUGCUGACGUUGUGCUCAGUGAUCAACGGGUCUCUGGAGCCAUUAUUUCUUCACCACCUGAAGAAGCUUCUGAGAUUGUAAUAGAUGCUUUACGAGCUGGGAAAGGUGUAUUUUGCGAGAGGCUACCCAGUUUAGACAGGCAGACAGCAGAAGCUUGUUUUGAUGAAGCUGACAGAUGUGGAAGACCAUUGGUUUGUGGAUUCUACAAGCGUUUUGACCCAGCGCUGCAGUUCUUGUAUAAAAAAGUCCGUGACAGCCAGGCGUUGGGGAGGAUUCACCGGAUAUCGGCRACCAGCAGCAUAUAUCCAGCGGCUUCUCUUAGCUUCCUAAAAAAGUCAGGUGGAAUUUUUUAUAAUGCUGCUGUGCAUGAUAUAGAUAUUAUCAGUUUGUUGUUGGGAGAGAGUGCACCAGAUACAGUAUUUUCACUGGGACAUGCAUUCUGUGCAGAUAUGGCCUACUUGAAGGAUGCAGACACUGUAGCGGUCAGCAUGAAAUUCCCUAGCGGAGCAAUUGUCACUUUGGACGUCAGUCAGCACUGCACUAAAAGCUGUGAUCAGAGACUAGAGGUUCAUGGUUCUCAAGGAACGUUACGGGUAGAUAAUCAGAAUCCCUUGGGAAUUACAGAGCAUGGAACUUCUGUAUCCAUCUAUUCACAGACCCACGCCGAUCGUUUCAGAGACGCGCACAGAGAGCUCUUUCGACACUUUCUUAGAACCCUGAAAGGCAAAGAACCUCCCGCGAUAACCAAAGAACAGUUUCUCUGGGCGAUUCAGGUAGCUGCAGCUGCUGAGCAGUCCUGGAGAAAUGGAUCUGCUGUUGACUUGCGCAAUGAAGCAAUAGAUUCRUCUGUAAUCAAGACUGAAAUAAUGUGACACGCACUGCCGGGUUUUGAGGUGAAGGAUAAUCUUUGAGCUGUGCUACAGUGAAGUCGUCUUACCUAGUGAUGUCUCCACUGUUACCUUCCCUACCUAAAAGACUGACUUUUUUACAUUUCCACUGGAAACGCCCAGAACUUGGAGGCACUUUCGAGCUAGAAGGGCUCCGUGCUGGUGCUGCGGAUGCCGCUUAGCACAGCGGCCAGGACCCUCCAGAGAAAUGACGUGCGCUUUUGUCCAGGCGGCGUUUUCUCCUGGAGAGCUUUGUUGCUUGUGGAGUGUUGUUUUCUUGGGAAAAGAGCCGCGCUCCUCGGGAUGCGGUAAGGAGGUGUAAACCACUGCCGCUGCGAUGGGAGCUGCGGAAACGAGACGGCGUAACGCUCGAGACRAGGAGAGCGUUCAGCUGGUCCGGGCUCGCUUCCCUUCAGUGUGCGCAGGAGCGCGACUUCUGCGCUGGACUCGCUCCCGGGCCUCGUAUUUAUUGUUUCAUUUGUUGUUUUGUAAUGGGUUUUCUAAAGUUUUGCUAUGGAUUUCAAAUGCAUAGCUGAGAAGUUAAUGAUCGUCUAACUUUCUUGGGGGACGGGGAAGAGGAAUGGAAAAGCAGGGAGGGAGACUUCCUCCUGCGCUGGCUGUAGUGAGAGGAGGAACUGUAGGAAGGCCGUGAAUUAAGUGUUCCACAGAGAAGCAACACGCUUGGGCACUUCUGCAAUAAACACUGCGUUAUUAACA